rnacentral:rRNA from 1 species
GAUGAACGCUGGCGGCGUGCUUAACACAUGCAAGUCGAACGAGAAGUGAAGACGGAAACCUUCGGGCGGAAGGCUUUAUUUCGAGUGGCGGACGGGUGAGUAACGCGUGGGUAACCUGCCUCAUACAGGGGGAUAACAGUUGGAAACGACUGUUAAUACCGCAUAAGACCACAGCACCGCAUGGUGCGGGGGUAAAAACUCCGGUGGUAUGAGAUGGACCCGCGUUCGAUUAGCCAGUUGGCGGGGUAACGGCCCACCAAAGCGACGAUCGAUAGCCGAUCUGAGAGGAUGACCGGCCACAUUGGGACUGAGACACGGCCCAAACUCCUACGGGAAGCAGCAGUGGGGAAUAUUGCACAAUGGGGGAAACCCUGAUGCAGCGACGCCGCGUGAGUGAAGAAGUAUUUCGGUAUGUAAAGCUCUAUCAGCAGGGAAGAAAAUGACGGUACCUGAGUAAGAAGCCCCGGCUAACUACGUG